rnacentral:misc_RNA from 1 species
AAGACUAUAGACCUGCGGAGUACCUGCGGAAGGAUCAUUACAGAGUUGCAAAACUCCAAACCCAUGUGAACAUACCUCGUGUUGCCUCGGCGGCGAGCGAAGUGCUUGGGAGGUGCCUACCCGGUACCUACCCGGUAGCUACCCUGUAGCCUCCUACCCUGGAGCUGCGAGGUACCUACCCUGGAGCACAUGCGCAUCCGCCGGAGGACCACUUAAACUCUUGUUUCUGUGUGGCACAUC